rnacentral:rRNA from 1 species
AACGCUAGCGACAGGCUUAACACAUGCAAGUCGAGGGGCAGCAUUGUUUGUAGCAAUACAGACAGAUGGCGACCGGCGCACGGGUGAGUAACGCGUAUGCAACCUGCCUAUCAGAGGGGAAUAACCCGGCGAAAGUCGGACUAAUACCGCAUAAAACAGGGGUCCCGCAUGGGAAUAUUUGUUAAAGAAGCGAUUCGCUGAUAGAUGGGCAUGCGUUCCAUUAGAUAGUUGGUGAGGUAACGGCUCACCAAGUCUGCGAUGGAUAGGGGUUCUGAGAGGAAGGUCCCCCACACCGGUACUGAGACACGGACCAGACUCCUACGGGAGGCAGCAGUGAGGAAUAUUGGUCAAUGGGCGAGAGCCUGAACCAGCCAAGUCGCGUGAAGGAUGAAGGAUCUAUGGUUCGUAAACUUCUUUUAUAGGGGAAUAAAGUUCAGGACGUGUCCUGUUUUGUAUGUACCCUAUGAAUAAGGAUCGGCUAACUCCGUGCCAGCAGCCGCGGUAAUACGUAGGGGGCAAGCGUUAUCCGGAAUUAUUGGGCGUAAAGAGUGCGUAGGUGGUUACCUAAGCAGGGGGUGAAAGGCACUGGCUUAACCAAUGUCAGCCCCCUGAACUGGGUACCUUGAGUGCAGGAGAGGAAAGCGGAAUUCCUAGUGUAGCGGUGAAAUGCGUAGAUAUUAGGAGGAACACCAGCGGCGAAGGCGGCUUUCUGGACUGUUACUGACACUGAGGCACGAAAGUGUGGGGAGCAAACAGGAUUAGAUACCCUGGUAGUCCACACCGUAAACGAUGAGCACUAGGUGUCGGGGUCGCAAGACUUCGGUGCCGCAGUUAACGCAUUAAGUGCUCCGCCUGGGGAGUACGUACGCAAGUAUGAAACUCAAAGGAAUUGACGGGGACCCGCACAAGCAGCGGAGCAUGUGGUUUAAUUCGAAGCAACGCGAAGAACCUUACCAGGACUUGACAUCCCUCUGAAACCCCUGAUAACGAAGGGGCCUCUACGGACAGAGGAGACAGGUGGUGCAUGGUUGUCGUCAGCUCGUGUCGUGAGAUGUUGGGUUAAGUCCCGCAACGAGCGCAACCCUUGCUGUUAGUUGCCAUCAUUGAGUUGGGCACUCUAACGGGACUGCCGGGGAUAACUCGGAGGAAGGUGGGGAUGACGUCAAAUCAUCAUGCCCCUUAUGUUCUGGGCUACACACGUGCUACAAUGGUCGGUACAAAGAGCAGCAAGACCGCGAGGUGGAGCAAAUCUCAAAAACCGAUCCCAGUUCGGAUUGCAGGCUGCAACUCGCCUGCAUGAAGUUGGAGUUGCUAGUAAUCGCGAAUCAGAAUGUCGCGGUGAAUGCGUUCCCGGGUCUUGUACACACCGCCCGUCACACCACGGAAGUUGGGGGUGCCCAAAGUUGGUCAAAAAAUAGAUUACCUAAGGCAAAACCAAUGACUGGG